rnacentral:snRNA from 1 species
AUACUUGCUUCAGCAGUACAUAUACUAAAAUUGUAAUGCUACAGAGAAGAUUAGCAUGGCAACUGUGCAAUGAUGACAUGCAGAUUUGUGAAGUGUUCCAUAUUUUA